GGGUCUAUGAUGACAAACCAAUGUCUCGAAGAGAGGUGAUGACAUAUAAAUCAUUCUUUGUAGGAUAGCGCUGAGGCCC
ensembl:snoRNA SNORD115 Small nucleolar RNA SNORD115